rnacentral:rRNA from 1 species
GACGAACCGAGCGAACGUUAUUCGGAAUCACUGGGCUUAAAGGGCGCGUAGGCGGGCGGUCCAAGUCCGGGGUGAAAGCCUCCAGCUCAACUGGAGAAGUGCCUCGGAUACUGGCCAUCUUGAGGGAGGUAGGGGCGUGCGGAACUUCCGGUGGAGCGGUGAAAUGCGUAGAUAUCGGAAGGAACACCGGUGGCGAAAGCGGCGCGCUGGACCUCUUCUGACGCUGAGGCGCGAAAGCCAGGGGAGCAAACGGG